UCAGGGAGGGGGGAGCAGGGACAGCAGGUCCCUGCUGGAGCUGCCACCACCGUGUGAGUCAGAGCAGGGCUGGCAGCGGGGGCACGUGGCCGCUCGGCGAGGCCAGGCUGGGCCCACGGGCACCCCGCUGCCCCCCAGGGUGGUCCCGGACCCCACAAAGAAACCCGGACCCGUGGGCUGGGGGGGGGAGAAGGAGGGGAAGGGGAUGCUCUGCCAGAGCCCUGGUGCCAUGGGGAUCACUGCCAGGCCCCCCCGGUGUUGGCGCAGCCCCACAGCGGGUGCUGCACCAUGGGGUGGGGGGCACAGCAGAAUGGGACCCCCCCCAGGUACCAGCCCUGGGUGGGGAGGGGAUGGGCAGGGAGAGGAGGGGAGGGGAGGGCAGGCGGUACCCAGGGAUGCUCUGGGCUCUCCCUUGUUGCCAUGGCAACUGCUGGGGGGGGGAGUGAUGCAAGCAUCAUGUGCCCCCCCCAAAAGGACCCCUUUUGGGGCCAGAUCACCUGGAUGAGUGGGGACCCCACGGGGGUCCUGCGUCCGGGCAGGGCGAAGCUCCUGCAGGGUGGGCUCCCGUGGCUCAGGGUGGGAGCAGAGGGGGCGCUGGGGGAGCUCGGGGUCAUUCUGGGGUGCCCUGGGUGGGCAGGGGGCCAUGGGGGGGCCCCACAGGGCACUGGGGGAACCACUGGGAGCGGGCAGGGAGGCGCGAGGCGGCGCAGCAGGAGGCGGAGGCGCGCGGAGCAGACCACCACACUUUUAUUCCAUAGUCACAACACCAGGAGAACCAUUAGCCGAGCUUCCCCAACACCGGCCGUGGCUUCGGGCCGUGCCCUGCUAGUCCGCGCCGGCGCCCCCCCCCCCCCCCCCCCAAAAAAACGCCAGGUACAGGACCCCUCACGAACACAGCACCAACGGGAACCCCGAGCGCUCGCCGCGGCUCCGGCCCGCUCGGCCGCCGCCCGGGCGGCUUCUUUCCUGAGAGAGGUUUGGUUUUUUUUAUUUUUUAUUAUUAUUAUUAUUAAUUUAUUAUUAUUUAUUAUUAUUAUAGUGAUGAGGGAUGGCGCAGGCACACUCGCUCGCACACGCGCGCGCCAGCCCAGCACCGGGCAGCUGGUGGGGGGGGGAGCUCGGCGGGACGGACGCGGGGGCUCUACAAGCACUACAACCACACGGCACAGAAAUAAAAACCCCACCACCCACGGCCACGACGCGCCGCUCGCCCCCCCGGAUGCACCCCACGAGGCAGAGGAAGGGGGGGACGAAGAAGAAGCAAAUGGUGUUGUGCUUGAGGCCGGGCUCCGGCUCGCGGCACGGAGCCAAAGCCUGCUCCUGAGGAAACGCCCGGCA
rnacentral:lncRNA from 1 species